rnacentral:rRNA from 1 species
CCUUGCGCCCUUUGGUAUUCCGAAGGGCAUGCCUGUUUGAGUGUCAUUAAAUUAUCAACCUUGUUCGCUUGAACGAGGCUUGGAUGUGAGGGCUUGCUGGCUUCCUUCAGUGGAUGGUCUGCUCCCUUUAAAUGCAUUAGUGGGAUCUCUUGUGGACCGUCACUUGGUGUGAUAAUUAUCUAUGCCACUUGACUUUGAAGCAAAUCUUAUGGGAACCCGCUCAUAACCGUCUCGCAAGGGACAAUUUAUUGACUAUUUGACCUCAAAUCAGGUAGGACUACCCGCUGAACUUAAGCAUAUCAAUAAGCGGAGGAAAAGAAACUAACAAGGAUUCCCCUAGUAACUGCGAGUGAAGCGGGAAAAGCUCAAAUUUAAAAUCUGGCGGUCCCUGUGGCCGUCCGAGUUGUAAUUUAGAGAAGUGUUAUCCGCGCUGGACCGUGUACAAGUCUCCUGGAAUGGAGCGUCAUAGAGGGUGAGAAUCCCGUCUUUGACACGGACUGCCAGGGCAUUGCGAUACGCUCUCAAAGAGUCGAGUUGUUUGGGAAUGCAGCUCAAAAUGGGUGGUAAAUUCCAUCUAAAGCUAAAUAUUGGGGAGAGACCGAUAGCGAACAAGUACCGUGAGGGAAAGAUGAAAAGAACUUUGGAAAGAGAGUUAAACAGUACGUGAAAUUGCUGAAAGGGAAACGCUUGAAGUCAGUCGCGUUGCUCAGGACUCAGCCUUGCUUUGCUUGGUGUACUUCCUGUUCGACGGGUCAGCAUCAAUUUUGGUCGGUGGAUAAAGGCUCAGAGAAUGUGGCAUCUUCGGGUGUGUUAUAGCUCUGGGUUGUAUACAUCGGCUGGGAUUGAGGAACUCAGCACGCCGCAAGGCCGGGUACUUGUACCACGUACGUGCUUAGGAUGCUGGCAUAAUGGCUUUAAUCGACCCGUCUU